rnacentral:rRNA from 1 species
CCAUAGUGGCGCACGGGUGCGUAACGCGUAACCAACCUACCCGAAUCUGGGGGAUAGCCCGCCGAAAGGCGGAUUAAUACCGCAUAAAACUGCAGUCCGGCAUCGGGUAACAGUUAAAGAUUUAUUGGAUUCGGAUGGGGUUGCGUGACAUUAGCUAGUUGGCGGGGUAACGGCCCACCAAGGCGACGAUGUCUAGGGGAGCUGAGAGGCUGGUCCCCCACACGGGCACUGAGAUACGGGCCCG